UACGUAGGGUGCGAGCGUUGUCCGGAAUUAUUGGGCGUAAAGAGCUUGUAGGCGGUUUGUCGCGUCUGCCGUGAAAAUCCGGGGCUCAACCCCGGACUUGCGGUGGGUACGGGCAGACUAGAGUGUGGUAGGGGAGAAUGGAAUUCCUGGUGUAGCGGUGAAAUGCGCAGAUAUCAGGAGGAACACCGGUGGCGAAGGCAGGUCUCUGGGCCGAUACUGACGCUGAGGAGCGAAAGCGUGGGGAGCGAACAGG
rnacentral:rRNA from 1 species